GAAGGCAGAACUUUCCUUUCAAGAUGGAAAAACAAGUAAAUGUUUGUCUCACGAAUAUAUCUUGAUAGCUCGUAUUGAAAUACAUGCAAGCGACUUUAAUGGGCUGGUUGUGAAUUUCAAAUUCAAAUUUGAAACAAAUUUUGGAUAUGAAGAACUGUCCUUAAAAACAAUCAAAGUGGAAUUCAAAGAGAAACCUACAAGUCUGACCCAACAUACAACUACUCAAAUGGAUAAGAUUACGACUGCAUGGCAUGAGAAACCAACAAGGCUAUAUACUCCUUUUCAUGUAACUAUACAACGGGACACUUAUAAUCCAUGUGAAUCUCAGCCUUGCCAAAACGGAGGGAUAUUUAUUUUAAAUAUAGCUACAUCUGAAUAGUUAUGUAAAUGUUCUUUAGAAUUUAAGGGGACGUCAUGCGAAUAUAGAGUUAGUCCUUGUGACCUGGGAAUUUGUAAAAAUGGUGCAAGUUGUACAUGGAUAGAAGAUUCUAAGUUUUUCUGCACCUGUGCACUUGGGUUUUCAGGAUGUUUUUGUGAAAUUGAAGGUAAACGUUAAAUAUCUAAACCUUUUGAUGUUUCUUAAAUGUUUAAAAUAUCAUUCCAAAAUUUUGUUAACAGAAAGAUAAAUAACAGAUAACAAGCAGUCUGAUAUUUUUGCGUUAGCAAUACUAAACGUCUGUAUUUUGUUUCCCAUUAAAUAUUGGAAAUGUCAUGACAAACAUCAUUGAAAUGGAACGAAGUAAAAACUUAAUCUAUAACUCAUCAAGGCAAAUUCAUAGCAAAAAUCAUCUCAAUAUUUAAAAGCAUUUAGAACAAAGAUUGGAAAACCUGGUUGGACAGACUGAUAAACUGACAGAGGUACAGUAAGACGG